UACGUAGGGGGCAAGCGUUGUCCGGAUUUAUUGGGCGUAAAGAGCGUGUAGGCGGCCGCACAGGUCCGUUGUGAAAACUGGAGGCUUAACCUUCAGACGUCGAUGGAAACCGUGCGGCUAGAGUCCGGAAGAGGAGAGUGGAAUUCCUGGUGUAGCGGUGAAAUGCGCAGAUAUCAGGAAGAACACCCGUGGCGAAGGCGGCUCUCUGGGACGGUACUGACGCUGAGGUGCGAAAGCGUGGGGAGCGAACAGG
rnacentral:rRNA from 1 species